rnacentral:rRNA from 1 species
UACGUAGGGUGCGAGCGUUGUCCGGAAUUAUUGGGCGUAAAGAGCUCGUAGGCGGUGUGUCACGUCGGCCGUGAAAACCUGGGGCUUAACUCUGGGCGUGCGGUCGUAUACGGGCAUCACUAGAGUUCGGCAGGGGAGACUGGAAUUCCUGGUGUAGCGGUGAAAUGCGCAGAUAUCAGGAGGAACACCGGUGGCGAAGGCGGGUCUCUGGGCCGAUACUGACGCUGAGGAGCGAAAGCAUGGGUAGCGAACAGG